rnacentral:lncRNA from 1 species
CACGGAUGUGAGACAUGGAAUCAAGGGAGACCGUUAUGGAACUUUGAGAUACAAUAACUGCCCUGCUGGGUUUCAGGCUUGCAUGGGGCCUGUAGCCACUUUCUUUUGCUGUCUUAUUGACAUAUAGGGCUUCCCUAUAUAUUCUGGAUAUGAAUCCAUAUGAAUCUCCAUAUUCUUAAGUGAAUAUCUUCUCUUACUUGGUAUGGAAGACAGGACGAAGCAGGGAAGAGGAUCCCACAGCAUCAAGUAAGGAAGGGACAGGGUAAACCAUGUUGCUCAAAAGGAGACCCUGGAGUCCCCAAGCUGCCAUACAGCUCACCCAGCAGUGAAGACACUGAAGAAAAAUGUUAAGGUGGCCACUUCUUUGCCACUGCGAGAAGCUGUCUGUCUCGUCAAGGGUCCAAGACCCCUUUAAACUUACUUGAGCAAGGUAGCUCUUUGGGGCCAAUGUAAGAAGGUUAACUGUAGUAUUAAUGGGGAGUCUUUUUCUCUCUAUCACAGGGAACAGUUAGGACAGUCUCAUUGUCGAUGGUCCUUUUGUUUACAGUAGGCACACUGAUUCUGGCCCAGUGGUUACCAAGUCAGGGG